GGACAACAGGGAUGACAGGGCCCCAAAGUCAUGAAUGUGAGAAUCCAGGGACAGUAUCGGGGCUUCCUUGAGCUGAAGACCACUGGCUCUAAAACAUGGAUCCUGCGGCACAGCUGGAAUCCCUCCUUCUGCGGAGAAACCUGAGCUCUGGGAAAAGGAGAUGGAUGACCUCAUUGCUGUAAGCGGCGCCCAUCGCUGCAGUUUCCUCUCUGGUCACUAGAUGGCCACACCGACCAGGCACCAGCACCUAAGGGAGGAGGGGUCGUUACUGAGAUUAGAAGCUGCAGGCAGUUUUAGGGAAAGGACGCCAGCUCCGCCGAAGCACACACCCAGCAAAGCUGUUUUUGUCCGAGAAUCUAGCGGUUGUUCGGUUCACGAGGCUGAUAUCUCAGCUGGUCUUUAGUAGAUGCCAGAAUCCGGAAGAAAUAAGCUCUAAUGCCAGAGAGAGAAAGCAGGCAAAAAGCAAGCUUUCUUCUUCGCUGUGGACUGCAGACAGAAGGAUCAGCAAGAUGGUAACCAUCCUUGCCGCCAAGCCUGAUGACCUGACUUCAAUCCCCGGGACCCACGUAGUAGGAGAAAACUCACUCCAGAAGGUCGUCCCUGAUCUUCAUUUGAGCUUUUCAGAUAAGUUAAUGUUUUUUUAUUUUUAAAGUGUUUGCAUAAGAAGAGAAUAGCACAAGAAAUAGCUCUCAAUGGAGGUUAUCUUGUUCCCCAUGACACCAUGGCAAUGCCUGGAGAUACUACUAUUUUUGUCACAACUGGGACAUGUUGUGGAAUAGAGUAUUUGUUUAACUAUGUAAAGAUGUGUUGCUGUUUCACCUUGCUUACUUAAGGCACCUGAUUGAUCUAAUAAAAAGCUGAACAACCAAUAGUUAGGGAAAGGAGGGGUAGGCAGGGCUGGUGGUCAAAGAGAAAGAGGGAGCCAGCCAGCCAGGGGCCAGCAAACCAGAAAUGGAGGAAGCAAGAAAGCAGGAUGCACAGUACGUAGAUGAGGUAAACAAGCCUCAGGCAGCCUUAAAUUAGUAGAAAUGGGUUACUUUUUUUUUUAAAGCUAGCUAGAAACAAGAUAAGGCUGGGCAUUUAUAAUAAGUCUGUGUCAUGAUUUGGGGCUGGAGGUCCAAGAAAGCCUGCUACAGGGGCAGAGACGCUGUUAACAAAUGGGUGGUCAGGGAUGCUGAACACUCUCCAGAGGCAAGAUAGUCUCCCAACACGCCCACUAAUAGCCCAGGCCUGUCCAACCCAACCCAGUGUGGACCAAGAUUUUCCUAUACUCAUUAUUCUUACUC
rnacentral:lncRNA from 1 species